rnacentral:pre_miRNA from 1 species
AGUGAAAUAGCUAGAUCAAAUGGUGGUUCCAUUCCUAGUUUUCUGAGGAAUCUGCAUACUGCUUAUUAGAGUGGUUGCACCAAUUUGCAGUCCCAUCAGCAAU